GUGACCUCAAAUCAGGUAGGAUUACCCGCUGAACUUAAGCAUAUCAAUAAGCGGAGGAAAAGAAACUAACAAGGAUUCCCCUAGUAACUGCGAGUGAAGCGGGAAAAGCUCAAAUUUAAAAUCUGGCAGCCUUUGGUUGUCCGAGUUGUAAUCUAGAGAAGUGCUAUCCGCGCUGGACCGUGUACAAGUCUCCUGGAAUGGAGCGUCAUAGAGGGUGAGAAUCCCGUCUUUGACACGGACUGCCAGGGCUUUGUGAUGUGCUCUCGAAGAGUCGAGUUGUUUGGGAAUGCAGCUCAAAAUGGGUGGUAAAUUCCAUCUAAAGCUAAAUAUUGGCGAGAGACCGAUAGCGAACAAGUACCGUGAGGGAAAGAUGAAAAGAACUUUGGAAAGAGAGUUAAACAGUACGUGAAAUUGCUGAAAGGGAAACGCUUGAAGUCAGUCGCGUUGUCCAGGGAUCAACCUUGCUUUUGCUUGGUGCACUUUCUGGUUGACGGGUCAGCAUCAAUUUUGACCAUUGGAAAAAGAUUAGGGGAAUGUGACAUCUUAGGAUGUGUUAUAGCCCUUGGUUGCAUACAAUGGUUGGGAUUGAGGAACUCAGCACGCCGCAAGGCCGGGUUUUCAACCACGUACGUGCUUAGGAUGCUGGCAUAAUGGCUUUAAUCGACC
rnacentral:rRNA from 1 species